CCUACGGGUGGCAGCAGUGAGGAAUCUUUGUCAAUGGGCGCGAGCCUGAUCCAGCCACGUAGCGUGAAGGAUGACUGCCCUACGGGUUGUAAACUUCUUUUAUAAAGGAAUAAAGUGAGGCACGUGUGCCUUUUUGUAUGUACUUUAUGAAUAAGGAUCGGCUAACUCCGUGCCAGCAGCCGCGGUAAUACGGAGGAUCCGAGCGUUAUCCGGAUUUAUUGGGUUUAAAGUGCGCGUAGAUGGGUUGUUAAGUCAGUUGUGAAAGUUUGCGGCUCAACCGUAAGAUUGCAAUUGAUACUGGCAGGCUUGAGUACAGUAGAGGUAGGCGGAAUGCGUGGUGUAGCAGUGAAAUGCUUAGAUAUCACGAAGAACUCCGAUUGCGAAGGCAGGUUACUAGACUGCAACUGACACUGAGGCACGAAGGUGUGGGGAUCAAACAGGAUUAGAUACCCGAGUAGUC
rnacentral:rRNA from 1 species